GCACCACGACGGGUGGAGCCUGCGGUUUAAUCGGACUCAACGCCGGGAAACUCACCAGUUAAGACAGCUGAAUGAUAGUCGGGCUGAAGACUCUACUUGACUAGCUGAGAGGAGGUGCAUGGCCGUCGUCAGUUCGUACUGUGAAGCAUCCUGUUAAGUCAGGCAACGAGCGAGACCCACGCCAACAGUUGCUAGCUCGUCCUCCGGGAUGGAGAGGACACUGUUGGGACCGCCUCUGCUAAAGAGGAGGAAGGAAUGGGCAACGGUAGGUCAGCAUGCCCCGAAUUAAUUGGGCUACACGCGGGCUACAAUGGGUGGGACAAUGGGUAUCGACACCGAAAGGUGAAGGCAAUCUCCUAAACCCAUCCUUAGUUCGGAUUGUAGGCUGCAACUCGCCCACAUGAAGUUGGAAUCCGUAGUAAUCGUGUCUCAAAAUGGCACGGUGAAUAUGUCCCUGCUCCUUGCACACACCGCCCGUCGCUUCACCCGAGUUGGGUUUAGGCGAGGCUGGCUCUUAUUGGGCCAAUCGAACCUAAGUUCGGCAAGGGGGGAG
rnacentral:rRNA from 1 species